rnacentral:rRNA from 1 species
GAACGCUGGCGGCGUGCCUAAUACCUGCAAGUCGAGCGAACAGAUGAGGAGCUUGCUCCUCUGACGUUAGCGGCGGACGGGUGAGUAACACGUGGAUAACCUACCUAUAAGACUGGGAUAACUUCGGGAAACCGGAGCUAAUACCGGAUAAUAUAUUGAACCGCAUGGUUCAAUAGUGAAAGACGGUUUUGCUGUCACUUAUAGAUGGAUCCGCGCCGCAUUAGCUAGUUGGUAAGGUAACGGCUUACCAAGGCAACGAUGCGUAGCCGACCUGAGAGGGGGAUCGGCCACACUGGAACUGAGACACGGUCCAGACUCCUACGGGAGGCAGCAGUAGGGAAUCUUCCGCAAUGGGCGAAAGCCUGACGGAGCAACGCCGCGUGAGUGAUGAAGGUCUUCGGAUCGUAAAACUCUGUUAUUAGGGAAGAACAAAUGUGUAAGUAACUAUGCACGUCUUGACGGUACCUAUCAGAAAGCCACGGCUAACUACGUG